UACGGGGGGAGCAAGCGUUGUUCGGAUUUACUGGGCGUAAAGGCGCGUAGGCGGCGCAACAAGUCACUUGUGAAAUCUCCGGGCUUAACCCGGAGCGGCCAAGUGAUACUGUCGUGCUAGAGUGCGGAAGGGGCUACUGGAAUUCUCGGUGUAGCGGUGAAAUGCGUAGAUAUCGAGAGGAACACCUGCGGCGAAGGCGGGUUGCUGGGCUGAUACUGACGCUGAGGCGCGAAGCCAGGGAGCGAACGGGA
rnacentral:rRNA from 1 species